AUUAAAAAAAUUAUAUAUGAAUAUAGAAUUAAAAGGUUUACGAAACAUCGAAUAUAACAGCAGCAAAUCCUGCUAUAAUUGUGGCUAAAAUUCCUGGAGUAGUAGGAGUGUGAUUAGAAAAGUCCUAAGAAAAAAAAUGUGCAACAUUUUGAGAGAAAUUACGGGCAAUAUUGCAAAUAUUGAAAAAACCAAAUUCUAAAAAUAUACCUGUAUAAUAUUUAUUUAAAGAAAUUAUAAUAAAAUUACGACAAAAAAAUCCCCUAAAUCCUUAGGGAUAUUUGCAAAAAAGUGUGUUUGUGUUUUUUAUUCAGUGCAGAAAAGGGUGUGUUCCUCGUGCACUGUUUUUAGCUCGCCCAAAGUCAAGGACUUUGUUAAUAAAUUGAUUUUCUUCGCGAGAUAAAGAAGAUUUCUUCCUUGCUGUUAAAACUUUUGGGAAUAUAUAUUCAUGUAGCAAAUAAAGGUAUGAAUCCUUUGAACUUGCUCUCCUUAAACUCAUAGCCCAGCCAAUCAUCUCAAAAUUUAAGGCGUUCCCCCAUUAACGCAUUGGAGAAAUAGCAGGAAGUGGGAAAUGGUACCUGCUGUGUAAUUAAAACCCAAGAAUUGCAAGCACUUUCUCAUGCAAUUUAAUGCCUGUCGAAUGUCCAGGCUGCCACUCAACACCAGAGUCAGUCAACUCAACUCAACGCAACGCAAUGCAACUCAACAUAACUGCACACCAUUGAAAAGACAAGGUGAACACAGAGGGCACAUGUUUCAAUUUGCCCAGCAAUUAAUAAAGGAAAUCUUUAUAAACAUAAUUAUGUGUAUGAAUAAGUGAAUGAACUGCAAAGGAUGUAAGUAGGGUAAUUAUUUGCUUGAGUGAACAAAGCACAUGUCCUUUUAUAUGCAGAUUUUUGUGAGUAGAUGAAAGUUGCAUCAAAGUUAAGGCAGAAGUGAAAGAGAAAUAUGGUCAUUAUUCGGGAAAGACAAUGUAACUCAAUUUGGGAUUUUAAGAGGAAAGAAAGAAGAUGUAAACAAUUGUAGAAGGAUUGGAUUGUUUUAUGAAAUUAUAACGCUGCAAAACAGAAGUUGUUUGUUGUUAAAUAUA